rnacentral:rRNA from 1 species
GACGAACGCUGGCGGCGUGCCUAACACAUGCAAGUCGAACGGAAAGGCCCUGCUUUUGUGGGGUGCUCGAGUGGCGAACGGGGGAGUAACACGUGAGUAACAUGCCCUUGACUUUGGGAUAACUUCAGGAAACUGGGGCUAAUAUCGGAUAGGAGCUACUGCUGCAUGGUGGGGGUUGGAAAGUUUCGGCGGUUGGGGAUGGACUAGCGGCUUAUCAGCUUGCUGGUGGGGUAGUGGAUGACCAAGGCUUUGACGGGUAGGCGGCCUGGGAGCGUGGCCGGCCUCCAGGGGCCUGAGGGACGGCCCAGUCGCCUACGUUAGGCAGCAGUGGGAAAUAUUGCACAGUGGGCCGGAGCCUGUUACGGCGGCGCCGCGUUCGGAAUGCCGUCCUUCUGGGUGUGAACCGCUUUCGCCUGAGACGAAGCGUGAGUGACGGUAAUGGGUAAAGAAGCACCGGCUAACUACGUG